rnacentral:rRNA from 1 species
UACGUAGGUGGCAAGCGUUUAUCCGGAAUUAUUGGGCGUAAAGCGCGCGCAGGCGGUUUCUUAAGUCUGAUGUGAAAGCCCACGGCUCAACCGUGGAGGGUCAUUGGAAACUGGGGAACUUGAGUGCAGAAGAGAAAAGCGGAAUUCCACGUGUAGCGGUGAAAUGCGUAGAGAUGUGGAGGAACACCAGUGGCGAAGGCGGCUUUUUUGGUCUGUAACUGACGCUGAGGCGCGAAAGCGUGGGGAGCAAACAGGAU